AACAGGAAUUGGAACCGCAUCGUUCUGCCAGAGACAUUGUGUCUGUAUAUAGUUCACAUCUGGGAUGUUCCCCUAUUCCUGCAUUGUGAGGCAGAAAGUGUAUAUGGUGCAUCCUUUGUGAGCAAUGCUGUGUUCAAAGGAUAAACUGAAGAAGCAGAUUCCCCAUAGACCGUCAGCACCAUGCGUUCAAAAAGAGCAAAUCCCUCACCAGGGGAUGUCUUUCAUUGUACACCAUCCCUUUGAGAGGCCUCUCGUGUCCGUGAAUGUGCUGUCCUUGAAGAACAUCCUCUCCAGCAGUUCCAUCUUCUCAGGCUGGUGCCAAGUCCGCAGCAAGAAAUGGAGAGGAGAGCGUUAAAGGAGAAGCAGCAAAGAGUUCCUUUAUCCAGC